rnacentral:lncRNA from 1 species
UCUCCCAUUCCAAUUCAUUUCAAUUAACCACGUUCGCUCUUGAUGUAAAUGAGAGAUGCAAUCACACAAACCAAAAAAGGUAACCUUCAGGGCAAGCACUUGCACAUAAGGGUGCUUGAAGGCAUAGAAAGAAAAGGAAGAAUCAUUAGGCACCAAGCAAUACAAGUACAUCAGUUGACGUUUUGAUCAAAUUUCCAAUAAGAGCAAGAAGCCAUCGGACAGUAUAAAGCAGCAAAAGCUUUUUCCAAGCAUGAUAUUAGCAACUCAACUACGAGAAAUUCCAAGCAUUAACUUCCGACCACAAUCAGCCACCCAAGGUCGCAUCCAUCAACUUCGUAGACAAGGAUCUGGUUCAAAAGUAGCCCGUGAUUCCGCACUUUACACGAUCAUCGCCAAGGAAGGCUUCAGGAAGACUAUUUAGGGUACAAGAAACAAUGUCCAGAGAGAGCUAGUUGCAACUCAUACUGAAGCAGGUUUCAAUAAUUCAGGAAGACUAUUUAGGGUACAAGAAACAAUGUCCAGAGAGAGCUAGUUGCAACUCAUACUGAAGCAGGAGAAACCUUUGAACAAAUGGCAUUCUGAUCGACUUCAUGCAGGACAAACAUCACAGGAAUGAUAC